GUUCGACUUCGAAGGACAAGGUCGACGGUUCGAAUCCCGUCAUGU
rnacentral:tRNA from 1 species